rnacentral:rRNA from 1 species
GGGCAUAAGUAACGAUAAAAUAGGCGAGAAACCUAUUCGCCGAUAGACUAAGGUUUCCUGAACAACGAUAAUCGAUUCAGGGUCAGUCGGGACCUAAGGUGAAGCCGAAGGGCGUAAUCGAUGGACAACUGGUUAAUAUUCCAGUACUUGUAUCACUGCGAUGGAGAGACGCAGGCGCGUAAGGUCAGCGAACUGACGGAAUAGUUCGUUUAAGUGCGUAGGUUUAGGUUAUGUAGGCAAAUCCGCAUAGCUUCUGAAACAUGAAAGUAGCCAGAGUCGUCAGACAAAGGCAUUGACCCCAAGCAUACUGCCAAGAAAAUCUUCUAAGCUUCAGGUGAAUACAACCCGUACCGCAAACCGACACAGGUAGUCAAGUAGAAUAUACUAAGGCGCUCGAGUGAUCCGCGGCUAAGGAACUAGGCAAAUUAACCCUGUAACUUCGGGAAAAAGGGUGCCACCAGCAAUGGUGGCCGCAGAGAAAUGGCGGUGGCGACUGUUUAACAAAAACACAGGGCUUUGCAAAACUGAAAGGUGAAGUAUAAGGCCUGACACCUGCCCGGUGCCGGAAGGUUAAGAGGAGAGGUUAGCGUAAGCGAAGCUUUGAAUUGAAGCCCCGGUAAACGGCGGCCGUAACUAUAACGGUCCUAAGGUAGCGAAAUUCCUUGUCGGGUAAGUUCCGACCUGCACGAAUGGUGUAACGAUCUCCGCACUGUCUCAGCCGCGAGCUCGGUGAAAUUGUGGUAUCAGUGAAGACGCUGAUUACCCGCAACGGGACGGAAAGACCCCAUGCACCUUUACUAUAGUUUAACAUUGAUUUCGGGUAAGUGAUGUGUAGGAUAGGUGGGAGACUGUGAAGCGGGCACGCUAGUGUUUGUGGAGUCAACGUUGAAAUACCACCCUUUACUUACUUGGAGUCUAACUCCCAAUGGGAGGACAUUGUUUGAUGGGUAGUUUGACUGGGGUGGUCGCCUCCGAAAGGGUAUCGGAGGCUUUCAAAGGUUCCCUCAGUACGCUUGGUAACCGUACGUAGAGCGCAAUAGCAUAAGGGAGCUUGACUGUGAGACCGACAAGUCGGGCAGGUACGAAAGUAGGAUAUAGUGAUCCGGUGGUUCCGCAUGGAAGGGCCAUCGCUCAUAGGAUAAGGGUACGCUGGAUAACAGGCUGAUCCUUCCCAAGAGCUCAUAUCGACGGGAGGGUUUGGCACCUCGAUGUCGGCUCGUCACAUCCUGGGGCUGGAGAAGGUCCCAAGGGUUCGGCUGUUCGCCGAUUAAAGUGGCACGCGAGCUGGGUGCAGAACGUCGUGAGACAGUUCGGUCCCUAUCUGUUGUGGGCGUUAGAGAAUUGAGAGGCGCUGACUCUAGUACGAGAGGACCGAGUCGGACAUACCGCUAGUGUACCAGUUGUUUCGCCAGAGGCAUCGCUGGGUAGCUAUGUGUGGAUGAGAUAAGCGCUGAAAGCAUCUAAGUGCGAAACUCACCUCAAGAUUAGUUCUCUUUAUAAGGGUCGUCAAAGACUAUGACGUUGAUAGGUUAUAGGUGUAAAGGCAGUAAUGUCAAAGCCGAGUAAUACUAAUUACCC